rnacentral:rRNA from 1 species
UGGCGGACGGGUGAGUAACACGUGAGAAUUCACCUUUAGGCGGGGAAUAACCUCUGGAAACGGAAGCUAAUGCCCCAUAUGCUCGCAAGAGUGAAAGGAUUUAUCCACCCAAAGAGAAGCUCGCGGCUGAUUAGCUAGUUGGUAAGGUAAUGGCUUACCAAGGCGACGAUCAGUAGCUGGUUUGAGAGAACGAUCAGCCACACUGGAACUGAGACACGGUCCAG